ensembl:lncRNA
CGUCGCCGGACCUGAACCCAUGGAAGUGGGAGGCGCCGCACGUAGGGAGACGGUGCGGUCUAGGGAGUGUUCCUUUUGUGGGAGGAAGGGACACUCUGCCUCCUACUGUUUCCAGCGAGAAAGGGUCGAGCGGAGGAAGCCUGACACCCCUACACCGAGUCAGGCCGGUGGUGGCUGGUCCCCUCCAGCAGUCUGAGGUGCGGGAGGUCCCUCCGCCCCCUCUGGACAUUGAGGGGGGCCCGGCGCGCCGGGGGGGGGGGCCUGCAGUACCUGGUGGAGUGGGAGGGGUACGGCCCGGAGGAGCGUUGCUGGGUGCCGGCGGUGGAUGUUCUUGAUCCGGAGCUCCUCGCCGACUUCCAUCGUCGGCGCCCUGAUCGUCCUGCGCGGCGUCUUCCGGGUCGGCCCCGGGG